GUUAAUAAACAUUCUAUUACAUUCUUAUGGGGUAUGUAAAAACAUAGACCGGAAAUGUAAGGAAAGCUGAGCUUGCGCAACAGCAGUCCUCAAACCGAGUUUCCUCGAGAGGUAUCCAGAUCUACAAAAGGUGCACAGGUGGUAAAAAUGGUGCUAGGUGUGCACAUGCUCCGAAGAACCAGCAACAACCCAACCAAGUUUAUUCAAUAAUGAUCCUUCCGCAGGUUCACCUACGGAAACCUUGUUACGACUUUUACUUCCUCUAAAUGACCAAGA
rnacentral:misc_RNA from 1 species